CUUACCAUGCAGUCGAACGGUAACAGGUCUUCGGACGCUGACGAGUGGCGAACGGGUGAGUAAUACAUCGGAACGUGCCCAGUCGUGGGGGAUAACUACUCGAAAGAGUAGCUAAUACCGCAUACGAUCUGAGGAUGAAAGCGGGGGACCUUCGGGCCUCGCGCGAUUGGAGCGGCCGAUGGCAGAUUAGGUAGUUGGUGGGAUAAAAGCUUACCAAGCCGACGAUCUGUAGCUGGUCUGAGAGGACGACCAGCCACACUGGGACUGAGACACGGCCCAGACUCCUACGGGAGGCAGCAGUGGGGAAUUUUGGACAAUGGGCGAAAGCCUGAUCCAGCAAUGCCGCGUGCAGGAUGAAGGCCUUCGGGUUGUAAACUGCUUUUGUACGGAACGAAAAAGCUCCUUCUAAUACAGGGGGCCCAUGACGGUACCGUAAGAAUAAGCACCGGCUAACUACGUGCCAGCAGCCGCGGUAAUACGUAGGGUGCGAGCGUUAAUCGGAAUUACUGGGCGUAAAGCGUGCGCAGGCGGUUAUGUAAGACAGAUGUGAAAUCCCCGGGCUCAACCUGGGAACUGCAUUUGUGACUGCAUGGCUAGAGUACGGUAGAGGGGGAUGGAAUUCCGCGUG
rnacentral:rRNA from 1 species